AGUGAACGCUGGCGGUAGGCCUAACACAUGCAAGUCGAACGGCAGCACAGUAAGAGCUUGCUCUUACGGGUGGCGAGUGGCGGACGGGUGAGGAAUACAUCGGAAUCUACUUUUUCGUGGGGGAUAACGUAGGGAAACUUACGCUAAUACCGCAUACGACCUACGGGUUAAAGCAGGGGAUCUUCGGACCUUGCGCGAUUGAAUGAGCCGAUGUCGGAUUAGCUAGUUGGCGGGGUAAAGGCCCACCAAGGCGACGAUCCGUAGCUGGUCUGAGAGGAUGAUCAGCCGCACUGGAACUGAGACACGGUCCAGACUCCUACGGGAGGCAGCAGUGGGGAAUAUUGGACAAUGGGCGCAAGCCUGAUCCAGCCAUACCGCGUGGGUGAAGAAGGCCUUCGGGUUGUAAAGCCCUUUUGUUGGGAAAGAAAAGCAGCAGGUUAAUACCCCGCUGUUCUGACGGUACCCAAAGAAUAAGCACCGGCUAACUUCGUG
rnacentral:rRNA from 1 species